UACGUAGGGUGCGAGCGUUAAUCGGAAUUACUGGGCGUAAAGCGUGCGCAGGCGGUGAUGUAAGACCGAUGUGAAAUCCCCGGGCUUAACCUGGGAACUGCAUUGGUACUGGCAGGCUUUGAGUGUGGCAGGAGGGAGGUAGAAUUCCACGUGUAGCAGUGAAAUGCGUAGAGAUGUGGAGGAAUACCGAUGGCGGAAGGCAGCCUCCUGGGCCAACACUGACGCUCAUGCACGAAAGCGUGGGGGAGCAAACAG
rnacentral:rRNA from 1 species